AAUUCCAACAAAGGAUUUAUAAUAAGUCCAAGAAAGCUGAGGUAUCACUGGAAUUCCCUGUAAGCAACACUGACAUACUUUAUCACAUGUAAAAUCCUCAAAUUUAAUGUACAGUACUGGAAUAUGUCCCCUAGGUAUUUUAUGUUUUCUGUGGCUCUAAGUCCUAAGCAACUGCCAUCAUGAAGGAGAAUCAAGACUGCUAAGGUAGGUUUGCCAGAGAAAAUCGCAUGCCGAGCUCACCUUGUCCGUGGACCAGCACACAAGCCAUGCCUGGACACCUCCCUCCACCAAGGCUGCCAGUCAGGGGAUUUCAGGUGGUUUCUUCAAUCGGAGUCUUGGCAGUUCUACACCUGUCCUCACUCCACAUGGGAUAUACGUGUAGAGACUACAUCGUGCUUUAACCUUGAGCGCUACUUCUUAAACCAAAAGUAAAUUUAAACUAAGGACCCAUUUCAGCCAAACUUUCCCAAGCAAUUCUACUUUCUUCUCUCUCUUAUUUCCUUUAGGUCUUAGUUUCCUCUUAUCCUUGUGACCCCUUAUAUUCCAUUAUGGUUAUAGGCUUUCUAAUCUCUUCCUAACAGCUUCUACUCAGCAGGGGGAAGAAAAAUGGACCAUGUUAUAACAAAUAACAUGGCGGUGAACUCUGUGGAUGGUGGAGUUGUUCUGUGUGCUCCAGUUCCUACCGAGAUUGUGCCUAACUCAUCAUGAAUCUCAGCAGCAGCAGCAUGGACACCAUCACCAGCAGAAGCGUUUGCAAGUAUCCAAUUAUGGGUUAGAGACUCUGCAAGGAAAUUACAUUCACCCAGCACCUGGCCAGAACCUAAGACUUGUUUCAGCACUUCUUGCAAUUAGCAGAGGGCAGUUGCCUCCGUGGUGUGUAGCCAGUUGGGGUGAUGAGCAAUUCUCCCCACAAAAGCCUCAUGAGACAUCUGGUGACUGAGUUCGCAAUGGCACUGCCUCAGUGUGUGUGCCCAUAAAAAGGCAAGCUGACAGUACCCGUCUAGGACAGGGUUCACCAGGCUUGUCUGUGCCUGCCUCUGCUAAGAUGCUCUCAAGGGACUGCUAGAUUCCCACCCUCUUUAUUUAACAGUUCUUCCAACAGAGAGGCAGAACCUACUUCAUUCAGCUGCUUUCCUCUCUCCCCAGUUUCAGAAUUACUAUAAUUGCCCAUUGCAGUUGUUCGGCAUUCAUGUCAAUUUCAGUACAAGCUGGAGAAUUCAGGAGAAGUUGUAAGGUGUGAGGGUUGGGAGUUGCAUCCACUUGUCAGGGAAAUUGCGAUGUCCGAGGCAGGUCUGAGGCCUUUGCUACUUGGAUCGCUCCAGCAGAAUGCAUUGAGGGAGGUCUCCAGGAAGAAAUGUCCCUCCAUGGCCAAUUGCAUGCCGCAUUGGGGAGGGAGGUGUCAAACAAUGGUAAAGUGGAUAGAUAGUAAAGUGUCUUUUACCAUCUCUUAUAAAGACAAGUGACACUCUGAGAUAAAAAGCCACAAGGCCUCUUCUAAAGUUUAUAUUUACAGAGGCUCUGUGACUGCAUGGCCACUUUUCUCAGCAGCUAUAGCAGGUCUUGGAAUAACAUUGCUUCAUUCAACAUCACUUUAUUAUAAUGUUGAUGAGAAAAAAUAUCGAUUCUCAGCUAAGGCCACUAUCUGUGUGGAGUUGUCAUGUUCUCCUCAUGUCUGUGUGGGUUUCCUGCCACAUCCCAAAGCUGUGCCCAUCUAGUGAAACAGAAUAUCACCUGGUCCCAGUGUGAGUGAAUGUGUGUGUGUGUGUGUGUGUGUGUGUGCGCGCGCAUGUGCGUGUGCCAUGGGAUGGGAUGGUGUCCUGUCCAGGGUGGGCUCCUGCCUGGCACCCGAGCUGCUGGGAUAGGCUCUGGCCACCUGAGACCCUGAACUGGAAUAAGCAGGUAAGUAAUUAUCUUACUUGUUUUUAUUAGUCUUUCUUAAAUGUAUGUAUAGCUCACAUUUAUUUCCAUGUCUAAUGUUAGAGUUUUCUGGUCUUCAUUUAGAAGUUUGGUGAAAUUUUUUAACCAGAGAAAUAUGCUAUAGAAACUUUACUCUUAUUUAUAACAACUAGCCUAUGGCGAAAUUGGUUAUCUUAUAUGUCAUUUCACUUAAAGUCAUAGUUUCCAAGAACCUAUCCAUUAUGUUUAGUGAGUUCUAACUGUACAUACUAAGCAGCAUUUAUAGUGCAGUGAAAAAUUGUGAGAUGAUCCUGUGUACAGUGUCAACUUUGGUUUAGAAUUACCUGUAUCAUGCAAGGCAAUACAGCGUUGAGUUUGGGUAUUUUAAUUCAUCUCUAUGAAAUGAAUUAUUGGGAGAGAUUUGUUAAAGGACAAAAAAUUACAGCUAGAUGGGAGGACUAGUGGUAGUGUUGUAUAGCACUGUAGGAUGACUAUAGUUAAUAAUAACAUAUUAUAUAGUUUCAACUAGUUAGAAGGAAGAUAUUAAAUGUUCCCAAUACAAAUAAAUAAUCAAUGUUGGAGAUGAUAGAUAUGCUAAUUACCCUGAGUUGAUUGUACUAUAUGUAUUGCACAUAUGCACUAUAUGUAUUGCAACAACACCAUGUACUCCAUAGACAUGUACAACUAUUAUGUGUUAAUUAAAAGAUUUUUUUUAAAGUCAACCAGUACUGGUGGGCACGGUGGCUCAUGAAUGUAAUCCCAGCACUUUGGGAGGCUGAGGUGGGAGGAUUACCUGAGGUCAGGAGUUCCAGCCUGGCCAACAUGGUGAAACCCCGUCUCUACUAAAAAUACAAAAAUUAGCUGGGCCUGGUGGCCUGCAUCUGUAUUUCCAGCUACUCGGGAGCCUGAGGCAGGAGAAUUGUUUGAAUCUGGGAGGCAGAGGUUGCAGUGAGCCGAGAUCACGCCACUGCACUUCAGCCUGGGUAACAGAGCAAGACUCUGUCUCAAAAAAAAAAAAAAAAAAAAAAAAAAGUUAACCAGUAUAACUUGUAACUAAUGAAAUUAAACCUAUGAGCUUUAUUGCUUAUAUACUCAAAUCAAUAAGGGAGCACCCUAGUUGAUACUCCCUUAAAUAAUCAAAAUACACUCAUGUAGUCAGAGAAUCUCAGAACUGAAAUAUAGGAGUCUCCUGAGGAAUCAGAAUCUAUUACAUAGGCUACCAAGUGUAGAAUCCACAUACUCAAGCAGUCCAUCUCUUUGUGGCCAUUUCCUGUGACCUAGCCCUUCCUUUCUUUCAGUGUAAGAAAUUCCAUUUCUAGGAAGCUUGGAGGUACAAAUGUUCCUCUUUAUUGAGUUGCUUUUUGUGUCACAGUACCUUACCAUUUAUCUUCUGGGCAUUUGUACUAUUAAAAUCAUGCCUAUUUCAUCUUCAUUUAAAACCAAUACUUAACAACAACAGUCAAGUCUUUCCUUUCUUCUUACACUGUCAGAUAAAAGAACCCCAAAUUCCAUCACAAGAUCUCAAUAACAUCUAAUUGUGAUAUAUAAUGCUUUAUCUUUUUUGACCAUUAUUAUUUUUGACCAUUAUUAUUUUCAUUAUUAUUUAUCUUAAGCCCUGAAACAAGCAGAAUACUCAACAUUUUCAGUAACUUCCCUUACUUUGGAUUCUACUGUUUCUAUAUAGGCAUCCUGAUAAUUGUGCUGACUUCAUGUGUUUAGUUUUAUAUUUACAAAUUAGCUCAUGUUCAUGGUAGAAAAAUUAGAGAAUGUACAAAAACAUCAAGAAGAAAAGUGAAUUUCUUAGGAUAUGGGACCAAUCUUUUUAGAAGAGAGAAACAAAAUAACAAUAGUUUGAACAAGUUGGAAGUUUUUUUUAAAUUAUUUUUCCACGUAAAAUUCUGGUUAGGUGCUCUGAGGCAAAGACUACCAUGGUACCUUAUGAGUCACCAGAGACUCUUCUAUCACGUUUUGCUGCCUUCAGCAUUUAGCUUCUAACUCGUUUCUUGGCUAUCCUGGCAACUGCUUUGAGGUAUUUUUGUUUUGUUUCCAUUUAUUAAUUAGUAUAAAUUCAUAAACUUCAAAUUUUUCAAUCUUUCCGAAUAGCAGUCAAGUCUUUCUUUUUUUCCUGUGCUGUCAAAAGAACCAAAAAUUCCAUCAUAAGAUCUCAAAUAACAUCUAAUUGUGAUAUAAAAUGCUGUGUUUUUUGGUUGCUUUAUUCUAAUUAAACUCUAUUUGGCCAAUAUUAUUUUUAAAAUCUUAAAAAUUAAGAUUUUUUUAUGCCCAGGCACAAGCAUAAUAUUCAACAUUUUGAGUACAUUCCUUUCCUUUGGAUUAUAUUGUUUCUCUAUAGGCAUCAUGAUAUUGUACAUGUUUUAUAGUUUCAACUAGUUAGAAGGAAGAUAUUAAAUGCUCCCAACACAAAUAAAUAAUCAGUGUUGGAGAUGAUAGAUAUGCUAAUCACCCUGUGCUGAUUGUACUAUAUGUAUUGUACAUAUGCACUAUAUGUAUUGCAACGUCACCAUGUACUCCAUAACACAUAACA
rnacentral:lncRNA from 1 species